UAGUCGUGCAAAUCAAGUUUUUAUCAAAGCUGAAUCAGAGGACGAACCAAGAGAGAUACCGGUGUGAAGUUGGAAUUACAAAAAUAAUAGAAUCAAUUGGAAUUUGAAAGACUAAUUUUACUAUAAUAACCUGCUAAUACCCAGAUAUCAGGCUGUCCUUGUUAUAGUUAUUGUCACCAAUUCUAAGGAAUUGGUAAUUAGAGAGGAUGAACAUACCAACUUUAUGGAGAGCCGUAACACGGACCUGUUAUCAAAUGGUGGCAAAAGCUCCGAUACCACAGUACGUCAGCAUCCCGUUGACACGCAGCAUUCACUGCAUGUUUAGUAACGGAUCAUUUUCAAU
rnacentral:misc_RNA from 1 species